rnacentral:rRNA from 1 species
UACGGAGGAUGCGAGCGUUAUCCGGAUUUAUUGGGUUUAAAGGGUGCGUAGGCGGUCUCUUAAGUCAGCGGUCAAAGCCCGGGGCUCAACCCCGGCCCGCCGUUGAAACUGUCGUGCUAGAGUAAGGUCGAGGUAUGCGGAAUGCGCGGUGUAGCGGUGAAAUGCAUAGAUAUCGCGCAGAACCCCGAUUGCGAAGGCAGCCUGCCGGCUCCACACUGACGCUGAGGCACGAAAGCGUGGGUAUCGAA